CACCGCGAGGUUGUCGUUUGAAUCGUCCACCGGCAAAACGUCCCAUCAUGGCAUUAGCACUGGCCCUCGUUCUGAACGGGUAGGUGUCGUCGUACCCGUAGUUGUAGUCGUCCAUCUCCAUUUCUAAAAGGAACAGAGAAACAAACGUCUGAAAUCCUGUCACGAGAU